GUGACGGCGUGCCUUUUGCAUAAUGAACCUACGAGUUACCUUCCCCGGCAAGGUUAAGUACCUAAGGUACGGAGCCGAAGCGAAAGCGAGUCUGAAGAGGGCGGCCAGUCGGGGGGGGUAGACGCGAAACCGAGUGAUCUACCCUUGGCCAGGUUGAAGGUUGGGUAACACCAACUGGAGGACCGGAUGGGUAAGCGUUGAAAAGCUUUCCAAUGAGCUGAGGGUAGGGGUGAAAGGCUAAUCAAACUCGGAGAUAGCUCGUACUCCCCGAAAUGCAUUUAGGUGCAGCCUCUUUAUAGUAUAUCGUGAGGUAGAGCGACUGAUUGGAUGCGAGGGCUUCACCGCCUAUCAAGUCCAGAUAAACUCCGAAUGCGCGAUAUAUAUUUACAGGGAGUGAGGGCGCGGGUGCUAAGGUCCGUGUCCGAGAGGAGAAGAAUCCAGACCACCGGCUAAGGCCCCCAAAUGAUCGUUGAGUUGAACUAACGAGGUCGGAUCGCAGAGACAGCUAGGAUGUUGGCUUGGAAGCAGCCAUUCAUUUAAAGAGUGCGUAACAGCUCACUAGUCGAGCGAUCUGGCGUGGAUAAUAAUCGGGCAUAAACGAUCUGCCGAAGCCGUGGAUGUCGCAAGACAUGGUAGGGGAGCAUUCCAUGCUGCGUCGAAGAUGAGGGACGACCCUUGUUGGAGCGCAUGGAAAAGCAAAUGUAGGUAUGAGUAACGAUAAGGGGGGCGAGAAACCCCCCCGCCGAAAGACCAAGGUUUCCUGAUCAACGCUAAUCGGAUCAGGGUGAGUCGGGACCUAAGGCAAAGCCGAACGGCGCCGCCGAUGGAAGAAUGGGUUAAUAUUCCCAUACUGCCUCAUGGAGUGACGUGGAGACGGAGAAGUGACAGUCCUGCCGGCUGACGGAAUAGCCGGUUGAAGGGUGUAGGAGUGGAUCAUGGUAGGCAAAUCCGCCGUGAGAUCCGAACCUGAGAGUAUACCGAGUACUUGUACGAGGUAAUAUGGACGUAACCAUGCUCCCAAGAAAAUCCGCUAAACUUAUCCAUGCGGCACCCGUACCGUAAACGGACACACGUGGUCGGGUUGAGAAUACUGAGGCGCUCGAGUGACUCACGGUUAAGGAACUAGGCAAAUUGACCCUGUAACUUCGGGAUAAAGGGUCCUCGUCGUAAGGCGAGGCGCAGAGAAUAGGUCCAGGCAACUGUUUAACAAAAACACAUGGCUGUGCUAAAUGGAAACAUGACGUAUACAGCCUGACACCUGCCCGGUGCUGGAAGGUUAAGAGGAGAUGUCAUCGCGAGAGAAGCGUUGAAUUGAAGCCCCAGUAAACGGCGGCCGUAACUAUAACGGUCCUAAGGUAGCGAAAUUCCUUGUCGGGUAAGUUCCGACCUGCACGA
rnacentral:rRNA from 1 species